GGGGGUGUAAGGUUUAUUAAUGUGGGUUUUUUACAGCUGCGGGGUUGCACAAGACUCAACACGACGGCGGUCACGACUGUACAAUAACAUACACAGUUAAAUAGAGGUGCGAAGGGGGGUGUGGAAAAGAGCAUAUUUGGACCCAAAAUGCCUACAAGGAAUGCCUGUCGUCCAGGAGGACUCCAGCACUAACCUCCCGUGGGACAUCAGCUUUGGGUUGCUCUGGUUUCAAAGUAAUAACAAAUUCUCUCCUUUCUGCACUGCAGAAAUGGGGGGAAACCCAUGCAAUGGUGUGUGUUUCCAUGGAGGUGGUGUCUUUCUAGAAGUAGGCCUGUGGAAUUGCUUUAAUUUCUUACUCUGGAAGGAAAAUUCAUGGUGUUUCCAUAUCCCGGGUGGCUGCUUUGGCGAGGAGGUGUUUGUUUAACUUGGGACACCAUGAAUUCCCUGAUGGAUUUCCAGGCUGGUGGCAUGAGAACGCUGCUGCUGCUGUGGGACAGAGGAGAAACUUUGAGAAGGAAGACUUGAGUGCAAAGAGGCUGGUUUAGGAGUGUAGCUUUUUAGGAUAGUUUUCAAAUAAUCGUUCUCCUCCUGUGAUUCUUUCCAACAAAGGUGAAUAGAGCAAAAGAGUUCUUCAACCCCACAUUUCCAACACCAUUAAGGCAAACUAGUUUGAUGUUACAGACUAUAAGACCUUUUAAACCUUUAAAAUACCUCUUGUAGUGCAGUAUCCCAUUUCCAAGUCUCCUAUUUUCCUACUAUUCACACCAUUUUUGACUUGUUAUGAGUCACGUAGCAGCGUGAAGAAAGCCAACAGAAAUCUCCCUUCUAUUCUCCCACAGCAACAUCAUUGCAAUGCCCAGCACUGGAAUUCAAGUGUCCUCAGCAACAGGACUUCAUUGGAUGAGCAGGAACCAUGCUCAAGUUGCUGGGCUCCCAAAUGUGCUGAAUUUAAAGACACUCAUCGCUGUGCUUGACUAAAUGGAAGUUCAUGAACUUCACUGACCUCAGUAACGCCCCAGUACAGUGGUACAGCAAGAGAAGUGAAACCCCAGGAACAAAUUCAUCCCUAUCUGGCAAGUCACCUCAAAGCUACCUCGAAACACCUCUGACUGGCCAGUAUUCUCCAUGUGAUUUCUCUCCUCACACACAGUUUCCACACCAUAUUAACAGAUGUGUUAAGUACCAAAGCAAUACCUGCUAUGAGGCUUUGCCCAGAAGAAACCAGACUUCAUCCAGUCCAAGUGUGAAGUUCCCAAAUCAUGUCUAAGAGCUUUAACUCCAUCAGGGCUGAUACCACAGCCUGUAAACAUCUGUGGAGCUUGCCCACAUGGGUAAUCCUCAUCUAAAUCUGUAGUGCUUAGGCCAAGGAGUUCCAUGUUCACACUCUGGGGCACAGAGAAAACUAACCCAGAAAACCUCUCUCAUUUCUCCAGUCUCACAGGCCAUAAAGACAAAAGAUCCUUCUUUGCUUUUGUUUUAUAAAUACACGUAUGCUGUUAUGCACAGACAAUCUGGGAUGAGUUUUCAGGCAGUGAAUGAAGGUUUAGACAGACACAGUAUAUCCCAUCAGGAGUCAAUGGAGUUGUAGUUCUAUUCUUGCACAUACCAGAAUGCAUUAAAUAACCAACC
ensembl:lncRNA